AAAGACUUGAGAACAGCUUAUAGAUAUUGAUGGCAGAUGAAGAAUUUUCAUGUCUUUUCAGAAAUGGUUAGCAGCCACUCAUAACAGUCCUGUGACGUCACAGAAAUCUUGACUCCUGCUUGUCCUUCGCGUUCUCCUUUAAGCCCUUCCCUCCUCCUUUUCAUAUAGGACCUUAACACAAGAGGGUCAGGAGGAGAAGAGAAGGGUUGCUCACAGGAGGAAAGAAGGCAAGGGGUAGCUGUUACUUUACCUGGUGGGCCAUGUGUUGCUACAAAUCAGGUGGUCUCUUUGGAGGAGAUGCCACUCGGUAAGGGAGGCUUCUUGAGCACUCGACUACUACUAGCAACUCAGAAUGUGGGACCGCUGGAAGGAAAAACACCCCUGGAUGGGGCGAAGGAAAGCAAUCUCCCGGGCAGGCCUCCAGCAUCUGGCUCCUGCACAUCCCCUCAGCCUUCCUGUGGCAAAUGGUCCAGCCAAGGAGCCCAGAGCAACUUUGGACUGGAGUGAGAAUGCCGUGAAUGGAGAACACCUGUGGCUGGAGACCAACGUCU
rnacentral:sRNA from 1 species